CCAUCUUUCUACUCCAACUCCUUCUCUACCCACUAAAAAGUCCUUGAUAUUGACGCGAUUGGAAGUAGGAAAUCUAUCAGAAAAGAUCAGGCAUUAUGUAAUCCCACCCACAAAAGUCUCUUUCUUUUCUUACAAGAUAGAAAUUAACGUAAGAACUUUGACAGAUAAUCCAUUGGCAGCGGAUAAAAAUUUGUCCAUUCCUUUCUAUUAUUGAGUCGAUUAAAUUACAACCUUGAAAAAAAAAAUUACAUUUGAUUUGGCAAACAAAGAAAAAGAAAAAGAAAAAAGUAACAAGGAAAUAAGAAAAAGGAGAUUCUUGGUCUUGCAAGAAAUGGUUAAUGAAGUAUUGGGUUUUGUCUGUUUUUGAUAAUUGGUUUCCAGUUUUGGGCCAAAGGGAUCAAAUUGAAUGAUAUAAUAAUAACAGUACCAUUUCAAGAUAUUACGAUUAUUUUAUAUAUUUCAUUGCUUAUGUUUGGUUUAGAUCUGAGCUAAGGAGAGCCUGUUGUCUCCGACACAAACUCCUCCUUAAUAAAAACAAACAAAAGAAGAAGAUUUGCAGCUCAGAACAGAUAUCUGACACCCCCUCCAAAGACUUAGGGGUGUUAGAAUCUGGUCAGGAGAUUCUUCUCAUCCCAAAUUUUUUUUUUUUUUUUCGAUGAAUACUAAAAUGUAACUGAAUUAUUGGGUUUUCCCUACUUCUCUCAAAGAAUCGAAGUGAGCAAAAGGGUGUGGUCUAGAGCUAGUAAUAUGGAUGAUUUUCCCAAGGUUUUGUGUGGGUGGAGCUGGGAGGAGAACAAGUUGUUUGAGCUGGCUUUGGCAGUAGUUGAUGAACAGGACCCAGAUCGGUGGGAAGUCGUUGCAGCCAUGGUUGGAGGCAAGAAGAGUCCAGAAGAUGUUCAGAAACAUUAUGUGAUCCUUUUGGAGGAUUUGCAGGUUAUAGAAUCUGGUAAGCUUGACCAUAAACUGGGGGAAGCUCAGCCUUGUGUUCAAGUUGAUUGCUCACAAUCCAUAUGCUGGACUGAUGAAGAUAACAACUUGCUCGUUCGAUUGGACAUAAGCUAAUCUCUGGAACCAAUGGGGCUGUCAACUGAAGCAGAUUGAUUUGUCUUCAAGAACAUGUCCCAUGAGAAUAUAUGGCCAGCCAUGGGGCUAUCCCACUGAAGCAGAUUGAUUUAUAUAGAAGAACAUGUCCAGCCUGAACAAACCAGCUGUUUAUGGGUUAGUGUAUUAGUUUGAAUUUUAUCCAUUUAUUGCAAAGAUAGUCAAUCAAUCUCUUUUUCUGUACCACGGAAGGAGGUUGUCUGUGAAAUUGCAAGCAAGCCCAGAAAGACUAAGCUUUCACACUGUAAACAGCAGAAAUGGGUUUAUAGCUUUGUUUAUCAACUCAGACUCAAAUCACAUACAAAGCCUGUGCUUGGCCCCGCUUCAUCUGCAAACCAUAAUUGUGAACUCACCCUAGGCAAGUCGAAACAGAAAAGAAAUGGAUGUGAAAUUGCGAACAUGUAUUUCAUUCAGUUGCCAAACAAAUGCUAUUCUCAAAACUCUACUUCCCAGCAUCAUUCUUCAACACCCCAGAUUCUUCCAAGUUCCCAAGAAUCGAAUCCUGUUGCAUAACAUGUUUCUCCUGAAACGGCAGUUUCCUGCAAACAAGAACCCGCCUUUACAAAAUCACAUCGACCCCAGAAACACAAACUCCAUUAUGCCGCCAUGUUUACCCAUCUACUUCUCCCUUAAUCCACAUAAUGCAAGCUUCCAGAAUUUUAUACGAGUCCCAGAUAUCCUUACAUAUCAACCCACAAACAGAUUCAUUGUUUUCAAUCCAUUCAAAGAAUUAAGGCAUGUACACUCAUGUUAAAUCAUUACUUGUCCCAAAAGCCUAAACUGAUAAGAAUAAAUAAAUUUUUAAUUAUUUAAUUUAUAUUCAAACAACUCUUACUAUAUACAGCAGCCCUUUUCAUUUCUGUAAGAUACAUUAUCCAAACCUUCUUUUUCUUUUUCAUCUCUGCCAGCAUUGAUGCCCGGGCCCCCUUUUGGCGAAAGGGCAUUGAUGCCCCUUCUGGUAAAAGGGUUGGAGAGUUGUUUGACUAAAACGGGCAUCUUAUUAUGCAGCAUGGCGUGUGGGAAGCUGACGUGAGAGAUUGAAAAUCUGGUUUAGGUUUUCUUUUACCUACACAGAGUAUAUUACUGCAGUAUAUAUAAACAAAUAAUGCAGUACACGUUAAUGCUACAAGUUCUAGCAAUUCAAACUAUAUAUGAUGUAAUCCUAAACUAUAUAUGAUUUCAGGAACAGAAUAAUUGUUUUUCUAUCUACCACUAGCUGGGCAAUUCAAUUGUUGAGAUCUCUUCAAGUUUGUAACAGUAGACAAUAAUGAAAGGGAUAACGUGGGUGUGCAUUCACCUCUGCAGUUGAAGUCUCUUCAAUAUCUGAAGCGCAUUCGUCUCUGACAGCUGAAUCUACGAACACUAGAUCUCACAACACUUCUAUAAAGCCUAAAAAAAUCUAAGAAUUAUAGGAAAAUAGAGGGAAAAAACUAGCUAAGACUAAGAGUAUUAUUAGGGUUUUAACCUUGAAAGCAAAACUACAAGAAUCGCAAUGUUUUCAUACAUGCCCACCAAAAAUAGAAAGAUCCAUUUGUUUCAUGCGGUUCUUCUAAACAUCAUGCAAAAAGGUAAGUAGUAAAUAACCUAAGAAAGAUCAUUCAAUGUGGUUGAAUUAAAUUUAUUUGGUUUUGUUUUUAUGGAAGUGCGUUUAGAGUUUAUGGUGUUGUUGGAUGACACAAUAGAUUGUUGUGUUUGUGCAUGCCAUCAAAUACUUACUUUCAGUACCGGAAAUAGAAAGAGAGGCUAAUACCAUGAACAUCAUUGGUUACACACAUUUAGAUAUCUUAGAGGCAUGUAACGCUUGUCCAAGAGAUUUUAAAUGUAUUGAAAUUCAAAACAUUCCAAAGGAAGCCGGUGUCAAAAGAUCAACGGAUCUAAAUUCUUCCGUACCACUAGCACCGAGUAGUACUGGUGUUGAUGGAGCACAACAAACUUGACCAAGGUUUAGGAGAUGGUGGGGGUGCGUUCGUUUGUUAUUAGGUAAAUAUUGGAAGCAUCAGGAAAAUUGGAUGGAGGAAACACGUGGCACAUUGAUGGUAUUGGCCACGAUGAUGGCAACCAUAACUUUCCAAGCUGGGAUCAGCCCACUAGGUGUCGUUUGGCAACAAAAUACAUACAACUCCAUAGAAGGUUUCAACCGUAAGCAAGAUAAUAUAUGUGAAGCCGGCACAGCAGUUAUAUCGUAUUCCUAUCCUGAUAUCUACCUAUUGUUCUUAGGUUGCAAUACCACAUCUUUCUUUGCAUCUAUGUGUGUCAUACUUUUGGUCAUUAUUGGAUUUCCUCUUAGGAGCAAGUUAUUUAUUUGGCUCUUGACAUCAGCCAUGACUAUCUCAGUUGCGUUCAUGACAUUGACCUAUUCAAAAGCAGUGAUUUUGGUGACCCCGAAUCAUAUUCUUAACUGAUUUCAGUCAUUGGGCAUGAAAUACUUACAUAUUUGGGAAGGAAUGUUUCUGUUUUUUAGUGUAAUUCACAUAAUUCGCCUACUCUAUCGAAUGGUUAAGAAGUUGUGCACUUUCAUAGGCAAGUCAACAACGGGUCUAGCAGAAGUCUCGUCUAAUGUCUAAGAGGGAAACAUGAAACUAUCAUGAUCAGAAAUUCAGUUAGAUAUUUUAGAAUAAAAAUCCUAUCAAGCUAGCCAUUGAUAAGAAAGAAUGUACGUAGGGGUAAGGUUCGGGUAAUCUCAUUGUAAUAUUUAGGUUAAGCGCUAAGUUCAUUAGUCCUUGGAUUCUAAUUGGGUGAUGUUAUAUAUGCAUAAAUUGGUGAUUUAACGAUUAAUAAUGCAUGGCUAAUAGAAUUUGGAACUAGCUACUUUCUCUCUUUGCUAUAUUUCAUUCUAUAAGCCUUGCAAAGAACUUGGCUUCACCCAUUUCAACUAUUUAUUAGUGGUGAUAAGGUUUUAUGGCUUUUCUCAUUAAAUCAUCGUCUUUGCGUGUAUAUGCUUGUUUAUGUAGUUCCAGAUUUGGACUCUAACAGAACUUCUACCGCUUCAACCUUCUUCGCCUUCGGGUGGUUGUCGCUGUUCCUAAGUAGGGGUAUAGAUAGACUUGUCUUACUCAGUGCCCCUUUAGAUUCUGUAACACCUUGUACGACUACUUGAGAGAACCGGAUUACUUGUUUGACUCAUUUCCUACUCUUUGUAACUAUUUCAAUACAAUUUUAAUUUGGUUUGGGUCUAUUGUUGAGGAGUCCACCCAUUUUUCAUUUAUAAGAUCGUUUACUUUUUCUUCCUUUCAGAAGUGAAAAUGAUCCUCCUUUGUAAUCUAUUUCCUAAUUCAAUUUUUUUUAAAAGUUUUUUUUUUUUAAAAAAAAAAAGCCCUUUCUUCCUAUGAUUCCCUACACAAAAGGAUAUGAAAUCUUGUAAAUGACGGAUAAUUUUCCAUGUCACUUCGCUUCGAUGGAAUUUAUUAUAUGGACAAUCUAUUUCGACAAACAAAACAUUGUGCUUCAUAAAGCUGACCUUCACACUUUGGAGCAAAUAUAUUUUUACGAUCAAAUGACUUUGCCGAACUAAUUCCCUUCUAAUAAAUUCUUGCCAAACUUGAUCAUAACUUGCCUCAUCAAAUGCGAUAUAGUGCUUGUGUUUACAGUGAAAAGAGAGAAGAAGGAUUACUGAGAGGGCUCUGGAGAACAUAUUACAAGAAUCUCUGCUAAUGACCAUCCAGUGAAUGGAAAGAAUUAC